AUUCCAGCUCCAAUAGCGUAUAUUAAAGUUGUUGCGGUUAAAAAGCUCGUAGUUGGAUUUCUGCCGAGGAUGACCGGUCCGCCCUGUGGGUGUGCAUCUGGCUCAGCCUUGGCAUCUUCCUGAAGAACGUAGCUGCACUUGACUGUGUGGUGCGGUAUUUAGGACAUUUACUUUGAGGAAAUUAGAGUGUUUCAAGCAAGCGCACGCUUUGAAUACAUUAGCAUGGAAUAAUAAGAUAGGACCUCGGUUCUAUUUUGUUGGUUUCUAGAGCUGAGGUAAUGAUUGAUAGGGAUAGUUGGGGGCAUUCGUAUUUAACUGUCAGAGGUGAAAUUCCUGGAUUCGCUGAAGACUAACUUAUGCGAAAGCAUUCACCAAGGAUGUCUUCAUUG
rnacentral:rRNA from 1 species